rnacentral:rRNA from 1 species
UACGGAGGGGGCUAGCGUUGUUCGGAAUUACUGGGCGUAAAGCGCACGUAGGCGGCUUUGCAAGUUAGAGGUGAAAGCCCGGGGCUCAACUCCGGAAUUGCCUUUAAAACUGCAUCGCUAGAAUUGUGGAGAGGUAAGUGGAAUUCCGAGUGUAGAGGUGAAAUUCGUAGAUAUUCGGAAGAACACCAGUGGCGAAGGCGGCUGACUGGACAUGUAUUGACGCUGAGGUGCGAAAGCGUGGGGAGCAAACAGG